GGUCACAUCACUUUGAAAGACCAGUUCUCGUACGAUCACCGAAGUUAAGCAACGUCAAACCUUUUCACUACCAAGAUGGGUGACCUUUUGGGAGUACCAGGUGCCGUG